rnacentral:rRNA from 1 species
CCCUUAGAUGUCCUGGGCUGCACGCGCGCUACACUGAUGUGUCCAGUAAGCACCUAACCUCUUCCGAAAGGAACGGGUAACCUUUGCAAAGCACAUCGUGAUGGGGAUAGAUUAUUGCAAUUAUUAGUCUUGAACGAGGAAUUCCUAGUAAGCACAAGUCAUCAGCUUGUGUUGAUUAUGUCCCUGCCCUUUGUACACACCGCCCGUCGCUACUACUGAUUGGGUGUUCAAGUGAGAUGCUUAGACCCUUGUUGCAUGGUUCAUUAUUGUGCUCCGAAAGGAAAAAGUUUCAAGCUUGAGUGUCUAGAGGAAGUAAAAGUCGUAACA